rnacentral:lncRNA from 1 species
AAAUCAUGACACUCAAAAUGUCAAUUCAGAAGAAGCAGAGGCACCAACCCUGAUGUUCUUUUUAGAAGUGGCAUUUUGAGUGUCAUGAUUUGGAGAGUCGCUGUGGCUGUUCCAAGCAAGGAGAGAGGGGAGAAGGAAACAGCUACAGGAGGAGGAGCAGCAGGGAGGAGGGGCAUUGGCCAUUCCAUACUGCUCUGGAAGGCUCUUCUUAUUUAUUUAUUUAUUUAUUUAUUUAUUUAUUUAUUCAUGUUUUUUUGAGACAGGGUCUCACUCCGGUUGCCCAGGCUGGAGUGUACUGGUGCGAUCUCAGCUCACUGCAGCCUUGACCUUCCAGGCUCAGGUGAUUCUCCCACCUCAGCCUCCCAAGUGGCUGUAACCACACAUGCGUGCCACCAUGCUUGGCUAAUUUGUUGUAUUUUCAGUAAAGAUGGGGUUUCACCUUUUGCCACACUUAAAGUAUCAUUGGGUCUGUUGAGUCAGAAGGACAAGUCAUAGAGCAUCUUGAGACCACCUUGUUGCCCAGGCUGGUCUCAAGCCCCUGGAUUCAAGCUGUCCACUUGCCUUGGCCUCCCAAAGUGCUGAAACUACAGGAGUGAGCCACCACAUCCAGCUUCCUUAUUUCUUCUCCAAAGCUCAACUCACACAUUGCUCCCCAGAAAGGUUGCACUGAUGACAAUGGUUUGUCUCCCCUUUCUCUUGAUCCUGUCUGUGCUCACUCCUCUGCCCCAUCUUUGCCACACUCUGUUUCCUUUCAGAGUCGGUGGCUUCCUUCUGUCUCAUCCAGUGAACUGAGAGCUCCUUAAGGAACAGAGUCUUACUCUUGUGUUUCACCUUCAAUGUCUAUAGUUAUGCCACAUAGAAAGCCACACACAGAAGACAGAUAGAUUUGCAAGUUCUGGGAUAACAAACUGUUACGAGGUAAAAAGUCUUGACUCUGAGUUGUCCAGGCUCAUGGGGCAUUGAACAAAGAAUGAACAAAACACUCAGCCAAAGCAACAAAAGAGCAAAGCAAUGAAAGAAGCAACAAAAGCACAGAUUUGUUGUGCACAAACAAAGCAAAAAAAGAAUGAAGCAAUGAAAGCACAGAUUUAUUGAAGCAAAGUACACUCCACAGAGUGGAAGCCAACUUAUGUAAAGGGCUCAAGAGCGCUGAUUACAAUGUUCUUUAGGGUUUUAAGCUAUUAAUAAUUUAGCAACACCCCUAGGUGCCCUUUAGAGGCCUCCAAUUGGUUACACCCUAUGAAGGAC